rnacentral:rRNA from 1 species
UACGUAGGGUGCAAGCGUUGUCCGGAAUUAUUGGGCGUAAAGAGCUCGUAGGCGGUUUGUCGCGUCUGCUGUGAAAACUCGGGGCUUAACCCCGGGCCUGCAGUGGGCACGGGCAGACUAGAGUGCGGUAGGGGAGACUGGAAUUCCUGGUGUAGCGGUGAAAUGCGCAGAUAUCAGGAGGAACACCGGUGGCGAAGGCGGGUCCCUGGACAACACCUGACACUGAGGCACGAAAGCCGGGGGAGCAAACAGG